rnacentral:rRNA from 1 species
CCUACGGGAGGCAGCAGUGAGGAAUAUUGGUCAAUGGACGAGAGUCUGAACCAGCCAAGUAGCGUGAAGGAUGACUGCCCUCUGGGUUGUAAACUUCUUUUAUAUGGGAAUAAAACGUUCCACGUGUGGGAUUUUGUAUGUACCAUAUGAAUAAGGAUCGGCUAACUCCGUGCCAGCAGCCGCGGUAAUACGGAGGAUCCGAGCGUUAUCCGGAUUUAUUGGGUUUAAAGGGAGCGUAGGUGGAUUGUUAAGUCGGUUGUGAAAGUUUGCGGCUCAACCGUAAAAUUGCAGUUGAAACUGGCAGUCUUGAGUACAGUAGAGGUGGGCGGAAUUCGUGGUGUAGCGGUGAAAUGCUUAGAUAUCACGAAGAACUCCGAUUGCGAAGGCAGUUCACUGGACUGCAACUGACACUGAGGCUCGAAAGUGUGGGUAUCAAACAGGAUUAGAUACCCGGGUAGUC